GACGAACGCUGGCGGCGUGCUUAACACAUGCAAGUCGAACGGAAAGACCCUGCUUUUGUGGGGUGCUCGAGUGGCGAACGGGUGAGUAACACGUGAGUAACCUGCCCUUGACUUUGGGAUAACUUCAGGAAACUGGGGCUAAUACCGGAUAGGAGCUCCUGCUGCAUGGUGGGGGUUGGAAAGUUUCGGCGGUUGGGGAUGGACUCGCGGCUUAUCAGCUUGUUGGUGGGGUAGUGGCUUACCAAGGCUUUGACGGGUAGCCGGCCUGAGAGGGUGACCGGCCACAUUGGGACUGAGAUACGGCCCAGACUCCUACGGGAGGCAGCAGUGGGGAAUAUUGCACAAUGGGCGGAAGCCUGAUGCAGCAACGCCGCGUGCGGGAUGACGGCCUUCGGGUUGUAAACCGCUUUCGCCUGUGACGAAGCGUGAGUGACGGUAAUGGGUAAAGAAGCACCGGCUAACUGCGUG
rnacentral:rRNA from 1 species